rnacentral:rRNA from 1 species
CAAUAGCGUAUACUAAUGUUGUUGCAGUUAAAAAGCUCGUAGUUGAACUUCUGGUAGGAGUGUCCCGGCCUUUUUGUUUUUACAAAUUGUAUGCUGUGUGACAUCUCUGGCCAUCCUUCUUCUUUGUUUAAAGAAGAUCUUUCACUGUAAAAAAAUUAGGGUGUUCAAAGCAAAGGUUUCUUUGGAAUAUAUUAGUAUGGGAUGAUAAGAUAGGCUCUAGAUGCUAUUUUGUUGGUUUGCACAUUUAGAGAAUGAUUAACAGGGACAGUUGGGGGUAUUCGUAUUUACAUGUCAGAGGUGAAAUUCUUGGAUUUUGGAAAGACGAACUACUGCGAAAGCAUUUACCAAGGAUGUUUUCAUUAA